rnacentral:rRNA from 1 species
AACGAACGCUGGCGGCAUGCCUAACACAUGCAAGUCGAACGAGACCUCCGGGUCUAGUGGCGCACGGGUGCGUAACGCGUGGGAACCUGCCCUUAGGUUCGGAAUAACUCCCCGAAAGGGGUGCUAAUACCGGAUAAUGUCUUCGGACCAAAGAUUUAUCGCCUUUGGAUGGGCCCGCGUUGGAUUAGCUAGUUGGUAGGGUAAAAGCCUACCAAGGCGACGAUCCAUAGCUGGUCUGAGAGGAUGAUCAGCCACACUGGGACUGAGACACGGCCCAGACUCCUACGGGAGGCAGCAGUGGGGAAUAUUGGACAAUGGGCGAAAGCCUGAUCCAGCAAUGCCGCGUGAGUGAUGAAGGCCUUAGAGUUGUAAAGCUCUUUUACCCGGGAUGAUAAUGACAGUACCGGGAGAAUAAGCUCCGGCUAACUCCGUG